UCCCGUGUGGCUUAGUUGGUAGAGCAUGGUGCUUGCAACGCCAGGGUUGUGGGUUCGAUUUCCUUGGGGGAC
rfam:Salmo salar isolate Sally breed double haploid chromosome ssa22, whole genome shotgun sequence.